UUGAAGCUUUUUUCUAAAUUCUCGCCAUGCUCUAUGAUGGAGCCUGUAAAAGCCUUGAGACUAUCAAAUGAUGGCUGUGAAGUUUGAUGUUGAACCUCAAUUUUCGAUGCCAAAGUUGCUUGAGAUAUCUUCUCUUUAGGAACUAUGGGCGGCUUCACACUAGGAUCAAUGGAUUUCGCAUUUUGUGCUAAAGUUUUCCCUUCUUUUACCUGAGGUUGAACAGCCAGGUUCGCAAAAUUCAACUGAUCAGCUAUAUAUUCUUGAUGAUUAUGCCUUUUUUGAAAACUCACUUGUUACAUUUCUAUUGCUUCUCUGGUCCAGUGGUAUGGCUU
rnacentral:lncRNA from 1 species